GAUGAAGAACGUAGCGAAAUGCGAUAAGUAAUGUGAAUUGCAGAAUUCAGUGAAUCAUCGAAUCUUUGAACGCACAUUGCGCCCCUUGGUAUUCCGAGGGGCAUGCCUGUUCGAGCGUCAUUAUAACCCCUCAAGCUCAGCUUGGUGUUGGGGCCUGCUGCACUGGCAGCCCUUAAAAUCAGUGGCGGCGCCAUCUGGCUCUAAGCGUAGUAAUUCUUCUCGCUAUGGAGUCCUGGUGGAUGCUUGCCAUCAACCCCCAAUUUUUCUAUGGUUGACCUCGAAUCAGGUAGGGAUACCCGCUGAACUUAAGCAUAUCAAUAAGCGGAGGA
rnacentral:misc_RNA from 1 species